rnacentral:tRNA from 1 species
GUGGGUGUAGCUCAGUUGGUUAGAGCAUCAGUUUGUGGAGUUGAGGGCCGUGGGUUCAAAUCCCAUUACCCACCCA